rnacentral:rRNA from 1 species
UACAGAGGUGGCAAGCGUUGUUCGGAAUUACUGGGCGUAAAGGGCGCGUAGGCGGUCCGAUAAGUCCCGUGUGAAAGCCCCCGGCUCAACUGGGGAACUGCACGGGAAACUGACGGACUUGAGUUCGGAAGAGGGAAGCGGAAUUCCGGGUGUAGCGGUGAAAUGCGUAGAUAUCCGGAGGAACACCGGUGGCGAAGGCGGCUUCCUGGACCGACACUGACGCUGAGGCGCGAAAGCUAGGGGAGCAAACGGG